UACGUAGGGCGCGAGCGUUGUCCGGAAUUAUUGGGCGUAAAGAGCUCGUAGGCGGCCUGUUGCGUCCGCUGUGAAAUCCCAGGGCUUAACCCUGGGCGUGCAGUGGAUACGGGCAGGCUGGAGGCAGGCAGGGGAGAACGGAAUUCCCGGUGUAGCGGUGAAAUGCGCAGAUAUCAGGAGGAACACCGAUGGCGAAGGCAGGUCUCUGGGCAUUAACUGACGCUGAGGAGCGAAAGCAUGGGGAGCGAACAGG
rnacentral:rRNA from 1 species